rfam:Pygoscelis adeliae contig69118, whole genome shotgun sequence.
AAAAAGGUUUUACUCAAAACCAAAGUUUGAUUUAAGUAAUUAAAG